UUUUCGUAUCGCUAGUAAAAGGAUUCUAGUGUAUUAUUAAUCACUGUUAAUAAGUAAGUGAUUUUGUGAUGCCAGGUAUCGUCUCGACUGAUGUAUACAUAUAAAAUCUGCCGUGGCGUAUGUUAGUACACGAGUAUGACCUUGGGAUUUAGGAUUGACCGUCGACUUAGGAUGAAGAGAGAAUGAAGAAAUUAUCUAUUGAAACCAGAAUCAGUUAUAUUAGGCACAGAUGGAUCGUAAGAUAAUUUUUUACACAGAAGUCAGAUUCUAAUGAGAGACUGUGAUUUUCAUGGAGUCAAGACACACACAUGACUGAGACAAGUGAGAUGACACAAGCCAUCAGCAUUAUGGGUCUCUCUGAUUAUGUUCCGAAAAGUACCGUUUGAGAUGAUUUCUUUGAAUGCUGUGACAUGGGCAUUGCCCUAUCAAGAAACAGAUGAAAAUUAAAUGGAUUGAAGAUUUCAUUGGAUGAGGAAUGACUACUCAAUUAAAAGAAGAGAAAUAUUGAA